rnacentral:rRNA from 1 species
GGAGUUUGGACCGUGUCUCAGUUCCAAUGUGGCCGAUCACCCUCUCAGGUCGGCUACGCAUCCUCGCCUUGGUGGGCUUUUAUCUCACCAACUAGCUAAUGCGCCGCAGGUCCAUCCUUAAGUGACCCCGUGAAGGGCCUUUCAAGCAAAGGAGAUGCCUCCUCUGUUGUUAUCCGGUAUUAGCCAAAGUUUCCUCUGGGUAUCCCAAGCUUAAGGGCAGGUUACCUACGUGUUACUCACCCGUUCGCCACUAGGCAUCCAGGAGCAAGCUCCCUUCCACCUCGUUCGACUUGCAUGUAUUAGGCACGCCGCCAGCGUUCAUC